rnacentral:rRNA from 1 species
CAAUAGCGUAUAUUAAAGUUGUUGCAGUUAAAAAGCUCGUAGUUGGAUUUCUGGUCGGAAGCUCCUGUCCUCUGAUGAGCGUACAAGUGCGUCCUACCAUCCUUCUGUUAACCUUUAAGGCUUUCGCGGCUUUCUAGGGGCUCAGAUAUUUUACCUUGAGAAAAUUAGAGUGUUUCAGGCAGGCUAGCGCCGGAAUACAUUAGCAUGGAAUAAUGGAAUAGGACUUUUCCCUCUUCUGUUGGUCAUGAGGCUCGAGUAAUGAUUAAUAGGGAUAGUUGGGGGCAUUAGUACUUAACUGUCAGAGGUGAAAUUCUCGGAUUUGUUAAAGACUAACUUAUGCGAAAGCAUUUGCCAAGGAUGUUUUCAUUAA